rnacentral:rRNA from 1 species
UGGGGAAUAUUGCACAAUGGGCGAAAGCCUGAUGCAGCGACGCCGCGUGAGGGAUGACGGCCUUCGGGUUGUAAACCUCUUUCAGUAGGGACGAAGCGCAAGUGACGGUACCUGCAGAAGAAGCACCGGCUAACUACGUGCCAGCAGCCGCGGUAAUACGUAGGGUGCGAGCGUUGUCCGGAAUUACUGGGCGUAAAGAGCUCGUAGGCGGUUUGUCACGUCGUCUGUGAAAUCCUAGGGCUUAACCCUGGACGUGCAGGCGAUACGGGCUGACUUGAGUACUACAGUGGAGACUGGAAUUUCUGGUGUAGCGGUGGAAUGCACAGAUAUCAGGAAGAACACCGAUGGCGAAGGCAGGUCUCUGGGUAGUAACUGACGCUGAGGAGCGAAAGCAUGGGUAGCGAACAGG